AGCAGCCGCGGUAAUUCCAGCUCCAAUAGCGUAUAUUAAAGUUGCUGCAGUUAAAAAGCUCGUAGUUGAAUUUCGGGACCAUCAUGUCGGUCGUGCCUCGGUACGUACUGGCAUUGUUGGUUUCUCCCUUCUGACGAACCAAGAUGUCAUUAAUUUGGUGUCUUGGGGAAUCAGGACUGUUACCUUGAAAAAUUAGAGUGUUUAAAGCAGGCUCGCGCUUGAAUACAUUAGCAUGGAAUAAUGAAAUAGGACGUUUGAUUCUAUUUUGUCGGUUUCUAGGAUCGACGUAAUGAUUAAUAGGGAUAGUUGGGGGCAUUAGUAUUCAAUUGUCAGAGGUGAAAUUCUUGGAUUUUAUUGAAGACU
rnacentral:rRNA from 1 species